UGGAAGUUUGAAAUCAAAUCUUCCAAGGAUCAUAACUUGAGCUAGAGACCUCCAAAUCACUCCGUUCCAAAGCCAAACUUGUGAGAAUUUCGAGAGGAAUCCAUUGGUACUAGUAUUUCUGGGUGGGUUUCACUAUAAAGAGAGAUCUUCCUCAUCUAAGAUUUUGGAUUUCAUGGAUAAUGGGGAUUUUGAUGGAGCUUGAAGCCAUGGGAGCUUGAAGUAAGCCUUCCAUUUCGUUCUAGGUGCGCCUAAGAGUCUUGUUGAGGAUCCUAUAUCAGAGGAGGCUUGGUAACUCGAUUGUUGGGUAGGCCAUCUAUACAGCUUUGAGAGGAACACAGUUAAUUAAAGAGCCCUCAUGGGACAAGGACACUACCCGUGGCUAGAGGUACUAGUAUGAGGAUAUGGAGUUCUGGGUAACCGGAGUUUACUAUUUAUUAUAAAUGUUAUUUUUGGAGAACAUGUACUGUUGUAUAGUGUUCUAUUCAUUUAGUGAUCAUGAUGUCUGAUCCUUUAUUUUAUAUAUGGCUUGUAUAUAUUUUGUACAU